rnacentral:lncRNA from 1 species
GCCACCAAUCCAGGACCCAACCUUUCAUGUAUAAGUCUCCACACUUGAAUGUCAUAGGAGACACAUAGCAUCCUUCUUCAAACUCCAAAGGUAGGAUAUCAUGCCUGGGGGGAAGCUUGACUACCUGAAAGCAAAAAUACAAAGGAUAGGAUAAGGGCAAGUCACACAGACGAAGGUUUUGCCUGACGAGACUCAACAAACCUCUUGAUGUUUAGGAAGGAAAAGCUCCGUGAAAAGGUCAGGAUCCUCUAGCAAACAAAACACCUCCUCAUCUUCACCAAAAAUAUGAAGGAUAGGAUAUGAAGACUACACCAACAAACUAGCAAUGGUUAAAACAAACUCAAGGAAAAACAAAACAACAAAAAAUGCACAAAGGAGACAAGAACAACAACCUAAGUCGGAGGCCAAGACCCUUGGUAGGCAAGCGAACAAAGGAACUUAGAACGUUCAUCAUCAAUAUCAAACUCAACAAAGUCAAACAUAUCUACUAAGCUCAUGUUAGGAAACGCAGUUCACCAAUAUUCCCAUAAGUCACCC